rnacentral:rRNA from 1 species
GGCCAUAACUAUGAAUAUACCGGUUCUCGUUAGAUCACCGAAGUCAAGCAUCAUUGGGCGCGGUCAGUACUUGGGUGGGUGACCACCUGGGAACACCACGUGCCGUU